rnacentral:rRNA from 1 species
AGAGUUUGAUCCUGGCUCAGAUUGAACGCUGGCGGCAUGCUUUACACAUGCAAGUCGAACGGCAGCGGGGUAGUGCUUGCACUACUGCCGGCGAGUGGCGAACGGGUGAGUAAUAUAUCGGAACGUACCGAGUAAUGGGGGAUAACCAAUCGAAAGAUUGGCUAAUACCGCAUACGUCCUAAGGGAGAAAGCGGGGGAUCGCAAGACCUCGCGUUAUUCGAGCGGCCGAUAACUGAUUAGCUAGUUGGUGGGGUAAAGGCCUACCAAGGCGACGAUCAGUAGCGGGUCUGAGAGGACGAUCCGCCACACUGGGACUGAGACACGGCCCAGACUCCUACGGGAGGCAGCAGAAGGG